GUCAAUAGCCUAACGGCUGAACCAGCAACUUGGAGGAAUGUAUAGCAAUAGCUGAUUGCACCAACAAACAGUUGAUGCAAGAUCGACUAUCUCGAAUAAAAUUCUAGGUAGAAUUAUGAUAAUGACAUUGUCUACCUAUGUGUCUUGACCAAAUUACGUGCCAGCAGUCGCGGUAAUACGUAGAAGACUAGUGUUAUUCAUCUUUAAUAGGUUUAAAGGGUACCUAGACGGCAAAUCAAGCCUUAACAGGGGACUAAUUUGCUAGAGUUACUUAUGAGGGGGUAUUAAAGUACUGCUGGUGUAGAGAUGAAAUUCUGUCAUACCUCUUUUCGAAAGAAAAACAAUGGCACAGGUAUAGGUGAAAGCAUCCCCUUAUGUGAUAACUGACGUUGAAGGACGAAGGCUUUGUGUAGCGAACAGGAUUAGAUACCCCAGUAGUCAAAGCAGAAAAUGAUGAAUGUCAUAGGUUAGAUAUUAUUUAUCCUAUAAAUGAAAGUGUAAGCAUUCCACCUCAAGAGUAAUUUGGCAACAUUGGAACUGAAAUCAUUAGACCGUUUCUGAAACCAGUAGUGAAGUAUGUUGUUUAAUUUGAUAAUCCGCAAAAAACCUUACCACAAUUUGAAUAUUUAUAUCUCUUUUUUUCUUAUUAGAGAAAAAAGUAUAUUUACAAGCGUUGCACGGCUGUCUUCAGUUAAUGUCGUGAGACUUUGGUUAGUUCCAUUAAAUUAACGUAAACCCUUACUUUAUUUUUAUAUAGAGUUGUUCCCCGCUAGAUUGGAUAUGAUAACAGGGACUAAGACAAGUCAUCAUGGCCUAAAUAUUG
rnacentral:rRNA from 1 species